rnacentral:rRNA from 1 species
ACGAACGCUGGCGGCGUGCUUAACCCAUGCAAGACGAACGGAAAGGCCCUGCUUUUGUGGGGUGCUCGAGUGGCGAACGGGUGAGUAACACGUGAGUAACCUGCCCUUGACUUUGGGAUAACUUCAGGAAACUGGGGCUAAUACCGGAUAGGAGCUCCUGCUGCAUGGUGGGGGUUGGAAAGUUUCGGCGGUUGGGGAUGGACUCGCGGCUUAUCAGCUUGUUGGUGGGGUAGUGGCUUACCAAGGCUUUGACGGGUAGCCGGCCUGAGGGGGUGACCGGCCACAUUGGGACUGAGAUACGGCCCAGACUCCUACGGGAGGCAGCAGUGGGGAAUAUUGCACAAUGGGCGGAAGCCUGAUGCAGCAACGCCGCGUGCGGGAUGACGGCCUUCGGGUUGUAAACCGCUUUCGCCUGUGACGAAGCGUGAGUGACGGUAAUGGGUAAAGAAGCACCGGCUAACUACGUG